rnacentral:rRNA from 1 species
AUUGAACGCUGGCGGCAUGCCUCACACAUGCAAGUCGAACGGGCGUAGCAAUACGUCAGUGGCAGACGGGUGAGUAACACGUGGGAACCUUCCUCGUAGUACGGGACAACUCAGGGAAACUUGAGCUAAUACCGUAUACGUCCGAGAGGAGAAAGAUUUAUCGCUAUGAGACGGGCCCGCGUCCGAUUAGGUAGUUGGUGGGGUAACGGCCUACCAAGCCGACGAUCGGUAGCUGAUCUGAGAGGAUGAUCAGCCACACUGGGACUGAGACACGGCCCAGACUCCUACGGGAGGCAGCAGUGGGGAAUCUUGGACAAUGGGCGCAAGCCUGAUCCAGCCAUGCCGCGUGAGUGAAGAAGGCCUUAGGGUUGUAAAGCUCUUUUGCCAGGGACGAUAAUGACGGUACCUGGAGAAUAAGCCCCGGCAAACUUCGUGCCAGCCGCCGCCGUAACAC